AGCGAACGCUGGCGGCAGGCUUAACACAUGCAAGUCGAACGCCCCGCAAGGGGAGUGGCAGACGGGUGAGUAACACGUGGGAACGUACCCUUUGGUUCGGAAUAACUUGGGGAAACUCAAGCUAAUACCGGAUAAGCCCUUAUGGGGAAAGGUUUACUGCCGAAGGAUCGGCCCGCGUCUGAUUAGCUAGUUGUUGAGGUAAUGGCUCACCAAGGCGACGAUCAGUAGCUGGUCUGAGAGGAUGAUCAGCCACACUGGGACUGAGACACGGCCCAGACUCCUACGGGAGGCAGCAGUGGGGAAUAUUGGACAAUGGGGGCGACCCUGAUCCAGCCAUGCCGCGUGAGUGAUGAAGGACUUAGGGUUGUAAAGCUCUUUUACCCGGGACGAUAAUGACUGUACCGGGAGAAUAAGCCCCGGCUAACUUCGUGCCAGCCGCCGCCGUAA
rnacentral:rRNA from 1 species